AAAAAAAUGAACCGUCAGUUCAGUCUCUACGCCAACGGUCUACCAAACACAGCCGGUCCAAAGAAAUAUCAAAAAUAUUUCACGCGGUCGCCGUGACUUCUACAUUUCAUUUCGACUCAAUAUUCGGGAUAACCGCCACACAAAAAAAUUUGCAAUUUGAGUUUCAUUCAGAUCGAACUUUCUACUUUUAGAGUAGAAAGAACAAAAAAAGUCAGGUAUGUGUCCUAUCUUAAUUAAUUUUUUCCCGAUUAGAUUUACUUUGUAGUUUUAUGAUCUUAAUGUUUCUGUUAAUUAUAUGCGCUUCUGUAAAUUGAGACUGAAUUUUUUAAAUUUUUUGUGAUUCUUCUUCCCCCCCCCCCUUCUAGAUAGGUAAAGCGAUGGAUUCUAUUUUUAGAUGUUACAUGAGAUUGUAAUUUGAAAGGAUUUUAAUUCAAAGUCAUUUUAUUUUCAGAUCGUGGACAGUUUUUUGAAAAUUCGUUGACUGGAUCUCGAUGUCUUCAAUGUGAUACGUGACUGAGAAUAGCAUUUAGUGCUCUGGAUUCCGAUCAAUUAUUGCUGGUUUUCUUGUAGAGGUUCAGAUUUUUGAAGUCUGUGUUGUAAAAGUUCAAUGGCAAGGAUCAAACCUCAAACUCUGUUACAACAAAGCAAGAAGAAGAAGGGACCAAGUCGCAUCAGUGUUGCUACCACUGCAAUUUAUGGCAUCGUAGUCGUUGGAAUGGUGCUUUUCAUUUUCGCCACCUGCAGAUACUGGUCUAGAAGGUUUGUGAUUUUUUUUGGUCUUUUUUGCACUCUGUUAAUUCAGUUGCAGUUGAAUUGUAUGCUGCUCGUUUAGUGAUCUGGAUUCAAUGCAUCUUUAUGAAUUUUGGAAUUUAUCAUAAUUUGCUAAAAAGUAAG
rnacentral:lncRNA from 1 species